CGCAGUUUGGGUGGCUUUACCAUGCAGUCGACGAUGAAGCCUUUCCGGGUGGAUUAUUGGCGAACGGGUGAGUAACACGUGGGCAAUCUGCCCUGUACUUUGGGAUAAGCCUGGGAAACUGGGUCUAAUACCGGAUAUGACUUCUGCGGGCAUCCGUGGAAGUGGAAAGCUCCGGCGGUACGGGAUGAGCCCGCGGCCUAUCACCUUGUUGGUGGGGUAAUGGGCUACCAAGGCGACAACAGGUACCGGCCUGAGAGGGGGACCGGCCACACUGGGACUGAGACACGGCCCACACUCCUACGGGAGGCAGCAGUGGGGAAUAUUGCACAAUGGGCGCAAGCCUGAUGCAGCGACGCCGCGUGAGGGAUGACAGCCUUCGGGUUGUAAACCUCUUUCUCCAGGGACGAAACGCAAGUGACGGUACCUGGAUAAGAAACACCGGGAUAAUCUACACGCUCAGCCAGCCGCGGUAAUACAUAGGGGCGCGCAGUCGUCGUCACGGAAUUAUUGGGCGUUAAAGAGCUUCGUAGGCGGGUUCGUCGAGUCGUUAGCGAAAACUCCACGCCUAACGUGGAGCGUGCGGGCGAUACAGGGCAGACCUGAGUUUCGGUAGGGGAGACUGGGAAUUCUCUGGGGGUAUCGGGUGAACAUCCGCACAUAUCAGGGAGGAACACCCGGUGUGCGAAAGCGGGUCUCUCGGGCCCGAUACUGACGCUCAGGAGAGAAAGCGCGGGGGAGCGGAUCAGGAGGAGAUACCCCGGUAGGCCACCGCUGUAAACCCUGGGCGCGUAGGUGUGGGCGACAUCCACGUUGUCCGUGCCCCAGCUAACGCAGGGUAAACAGCCCCCCCUGGUGGAGGACGAUGCCCGCAAGGCGUAAACAUCUCAAAGGAAUCUGACGGUGGGCCCGCACAAGCGGCGGAGCAUGUGGAUUAAUUCGAUGCAACGCGAAGAACCUUACCUGGGCUUGACAUGCGCCAGACAUCCCUAGAGAUAGGGCUUCCCUUGUGGUUGGUGUACAGGUGGUGCAUGGCUGUCGUCAGCUCGUGUCGUGAGAUGUUGGGUUAAGUCCCGCAACGAGCGCAACCCUUAUCCUACGUUGCCAGCGCGUUAUGGCGGGGACUCGUGGGAGACUGCCGGGGUCAACUCGGAGGAAGGUGGGGAUGACGUCAAGUCAUCAUGCCCCUUAUGUCCAGGGCUUCACACAUGCUACAAUGGCUGGUACAGAGGGCUGCGAUACCGCGAGGUGGAGCGAAUCCCUUAAAGCCGGUCUCAGUUCGGAUCGCAGUCUGCAACUCGACUGCGUGAAGUCGGAGUCGCUAGUAAUCGCAGAUCAGCAACGCUGCGGUGAAUACGUUCCCGGGCCUUGUACACACCGCCCGUCAAGUCAUGAAAGUCGGUAACACCCGAAGCCCAUGGCCCAACCUCGCAAGAGGGGGAGUGGUCGAAAGGGGGAACAACAGUUG
rnacentral:rRNA from 1 species